UACGGGGGGGGCAAGCGUUGUUCGGAAUUACUGGGCGUAAAGGGCUCGUAGGCGGCCAACUAAGUCAGACGUGAAAUCCCCGGGCUCAACCCGGGAACUGCGUCCGAUACUGGAAGGCUUGAAUCCGGGAGAGGGAUGCGGAAUUCCAGGUGUAGCGGUGAAAUGCGUAGAUAUCUGGAGGAACACCGGUGGCGAAGGCGGCAUCCUGGACCAAUUCUGACGCUGAGGAGCGAAAGCCAGGGGAGCAAACGGG
rnacentral:rRNA from 1 species